rnacentral:tRNA from 1 species
GCACCCGUAGCUCAAUUGGAUAGAGCAUCUGACUACGGAUCAGAAGGUUGUGAGUUCGAAUCCCGCCGGGUGCG